AGUGUAACGGAGGGAACUGCUGACUGCAGAGUUCUCAGGAAGAGCAGACUCCUCUCUGAACAAAAAGGGAAGGAUUUGGAGAUCUAAGUUAAGGCCCUUUCAUCCCUGAGGUCACCAGCUGAUUGGUUUGCAGUAACCUCUGACGAGCUGCAGCAGGACACAGGUGCUGGCUUGAAACAGUGCUGAACGGCUUCAGCGUCCCGUGGUGCGGCGACCGACCGCAAAGAAAGGAGGGAGGGCGAGCCUGAGAGGAGGAAGAAAUCAGCACUCUGGCGGCUGAGGCAGGAUUGCAAGUGUGACAGGGCCCCACGGCAGAGUACUGUGCAACUCCGGAAGGAAAGUUUUCAUAUCCUGUCAGGGACGAUCUCCAGGAAUGCUAAGGGAAAUAACUAAAUGCAGAGCGUGUUCAGUGUAUGAACUGUUCUGAAAAAAUGAAAGAGGAACCCACCCAGUUGUGUCUGUACAUAAAGAAGUCAGACGGCUUCUGAGGGCUGAAUGGUUUGGUGUGGGGCUGGUAACGUGGUGAGAGUAGAGUUGUUGCUAGGUGCUUUUUGGUGUCUUUCUAGUUUUGAACCAUGGCAAUUAUCUGUCCUCAAGUCCAAGCAGCCUCUAUAUUGUUUGUCCUUUCCUUCCAUGCUGAGCCUAGUCCUCAAGGCAAGGCAUUCAGAACCACCAGCAACCCUCACCAGCCAGAGUGCCCUUGUGAAAGAGGUGGUGGGCAGCUCUCUGGCCUGUGUAGGGUGGCAGGGAACUGGGAAGCCACUCACACAGACCAGGACCUGCCCGGGCUGCGCCAGACUUGGUGGCCGCCAGAACCAUGGCAGUGAAGUUCUGCUCUUUACAGGUACCUGUGAUAAGGAAAUUGGUUGGAGCACCCCAAAUGGGCUACAGCAUUAAUGAAAAGAAGAAUAAAACCUGUAAAUUACAUUUCCUUUGCAAAUA